rnacentral:rRNA from 1 species
UGGGGAAUCUUCCGCAAUGGACGAAAGUCUGACGGAGCAACGCCGCGUGAGUGAAGACGGCCUUCGGGUUGUAAAGCUCUGUGAUCCGGGACGUAAGAGCCUGAGGUAAAUAGCCUAAGGAAGUGACGGUACCGGAAAAGCAAGCCACGGCUAACUACGUGCCAGCAGCCGCGGUAAUACGUAGGUGGCAAGCGUUGUCCGGAAUUAUUGGGCGUAAAGCGCGCGCAGGCGGCUUACUAAGUCCAUCUUAAAAGUGCGGGGCUUAACCCCGUGAUGGGAUGGAAACUGGAAAGCUGGAGUAUCGGAGAGGAAAGUGGAAUUCCUAGUGUAGCGGUGAAAUGCGUAGAGAUUAGGAAGAACACCGGUGGCGAAGGCGACUUUCUGGACGAAAACUGACGCUGAGGCGCGAAAGCGUGGGGAGCAAACAGG